rnacentral:rRNA from 1 species
GAUGAACGCUGGCGGCGUGCCUAAUACAUGCAAGUCGAGCGAACGGACGAGAAGCUUGCUUCUCUGAUGUUAGCGGCGGACGGGUGAGUAACACGUGGAUAACCUACCUAUAAGACUGGGAUAACUUCGGGAAACCGGAGCUAAUACCGGAUGAUAUUUUGAACCGCAUGGUUCAAAAGUGAAAGACGGUCUUGCUGUCACUUAUAGAUGGAUCCGCGCUGCAUUAGCUAGUUGGUAAGGUAACGGCUUACCAAGGCAACGAUGCAUAGCCGACCUGAGAGGGUGAUCGGCCACACUGGAACUGAGACACGGUCCAGACUCCUACGGGGGGCAGCAGUAGGGAAUCUUCCGCAAUGGGCGAAAGCCUGACGGAGCAGCGCCGCGUGAGUGAUGAAGGUCUUCGGAUCGUAAAACUCUGUUAUUAGGGAAGAACAUAUGUGUAAGUAACUGUGCACAUCUUGACGGUACCUAAUCAGAAAGCCACGGCUAACUACGUG